rnacentral:lncRNA from 1 species
UUGGUGUCUCUAAGUCUCCACACCAAGGAUGAGGUGUGAAGAUGAAAUGGAUGACUUAGAGAAUAAAAGAUUGCUAGCUAUAUCUUCUCUAAGUGGCCGGCCUCCUUUAGAGAAAAAGAGAGAAAGUGUUUCUCAUCUUUGUCUCAAGAAAACCCUAUGAGGUAAAAGCUAUAAAGAUGCUUUUAUAUCUCUUUUUUUAGGUGAGUGGCAAACUUGCAAUAAGCAAAACUUCCCACUACCCUUGCUAUGGCCGGCCAUCUUAAGUGAUUGGGCUAUUUGCCCAUAUUUGUUUUAGUUGUCACACAACUUAAACAUAAUGGGCCUAGUGGACCAAACCCUUUUGGACCCCGAAGCCCAAAACUAACUUA